GACGAACGCUGGCGGCGUGCUUAACACAUGCAAGUCGAACGGAAAGGCCCUGCUUUUGUGGGGUGCUCGAGUGGCGAACGGGUGAGUAACACGUGAGUAACCUGCCCUUGACUUUGGGAUAACUUCAGGAAACUGGGGCUAAUACCGGAUAGGAGCUCCUGCUGCAUGGUGGGGGUUGGAAAGUUUCGGCGGUUGGGGAUGGACUCGCGGCUUAUCAGCUUGUUGGUGGGGUAGUGGCUUAACAAGGCUUUGACGGGUAGGCGGCCUGAGAGGGUGACCGGCCACAUUGGGACUGAGAUACGGCCCAGACUCCUACGGGAGGCAGCAGUGGGGAAUAUUGCACAAUGGGCGGAAGCCUGAUGCAGCAACGCCGCGUGCGGGAUGACGGCCUUCGGGUUGUAAACCGCUUUCGCCUGUGACGAAGCGUGAGUGACGGUAAUGGGUAAAGAAGCACCGGCUAACUACGUG
rnacentral:rRNA from 1 species